rnacentral:rRNA from 1 species
UACGAAGGGGGCUAGCGUUGCUCGGAAUCACUGGGCGUAAAGCGCACGUAGGCGGGUCCUUAAGUCAGGGGGUGAAAUCCCGGAGCUCAACUCCGGAACUGCCUUUGAUACUGGGGAUCUUGAGUCCGGAAGAGGUGAGUGGAACUCCGAGUGUAGAGGUGAAAUUCGUAGAUAUUCGGAAGAACACCAGUGGCGAAGGCGGCUCACUGGUCCGGUACUGACGCUGAGGCGCGAAAGCGUGGGGAGCAAACGGG